rnacentral:rRNA from 1 species
GACGAAUGCUGGCGGCGUGCUUAACACAUGCAAGUCGAACGGAAAGGCCCUGCUUUUGUGGGGUGCUCGAGUGGCGAACGGGUGAGUAACACGUGAGUAACCUGCCCUUGACUUUGGGAUAACUUCAGGAAACUGGGGCUAAUACCGGAUAGGAGCUCCUGCUGCAUGGUGUGGGUUGGAAAGUUUCGGCGGUUGGGGAUGGACUCGCGGCUUAUCAGCUUGUUGGUGGGGUAGUGGCUUACCAAGGCUUUGACGGGUAGCCGGCCUGAGAGGGUGACCGGCCACAUUGGGACUGAGAUACGGCCCAGACUCCUACGGGAGGCAGCAGUGGGGAAUAUUGCACAAUGGGCGGAAGCCUGAUGCAGCAACGCCGCGUGCGGGAUGACGGCCUUCGGGUUGUAAACCGCUUUCGCCUGUGACGAAGCGUGAGUGACGGUAAUGGGUAAAGAAGCACCGGCUAACUACGUG